rnacentral:rRNA from 1 species
CUACACCGUAUUCUGUGAGUUGCGAACGGGUGAGUAACGCGUAGGUAACCUGCCUGGUAGCGGGGGAUAACUAUUGGAAACGAUAGCUAAUACCGCAUAAGAACAUUUACUGCAUGGUAGAUGUUUAAAAGGUGCAAAAGCAUCACUACCAGAUGGACCUGCGUUGUAUUAGCUAGUUGGUGAGGUAACGGCUCACCAAGGCAACGAUACAUAGCCGACCUGAGAGGGUGAUCGGCCACACUGGGACUGAGACACGGCCCAGACUCCUACGGGAGGCAGCAGUAGGGAAUCUUCGGCAAUGGGGGGAACCCUGACCGAGCAACGCCGCGUGAGUGAAGAAGGUUUUCGGAUCGUAAAGCUCUGUUGUUAAGGAAGAACGUGUGUGAGAGUGGAAAGUUCACACAGUGACGGUACUUAACCAGAAAGGGACGGCUAACUACGUGCCAGCAGCCGCGGUAAUACGUAGGUCCCGAGCGUUGUCCGGAUUUAUUGGGCGUAAAGCGAGCGCAGGCGGUUAGAUAAGUCUGAAGUGAAAGGCAGUGGCUCAACCAUUGUAGGCUUUGGAAACUGUUUAACUUGAGUGCAGAAGGGGAGAGUGGAAUUCCAUGUGUAGCGGUGAAAUGCGUAGAUAUAUGGAGGAACACCGGUGGCGAAAGCGGCUCUCUGGUCUGUAACUGACGCUGAGGCUCGAAAGCGUGGGGAGCGAACAGGAUUAGAUACCCUGGUAGUCCACGCCGUAAACGAUGAGUGCUAGGUGUUAGGUCCU